AUACUUCCCUGGCAGGGGAAAUACCGUGAUCACGAAGGUGGUUUUCCCAGGGUGAAGCUAAUCCAUUGCUGACCCCUGUGAUUUCCCCACAUAGGGGAAACUCGACUGUGUAAUUUGUGUUGAUGGGGUGGGGGGAGUUGUGUGCCACUUUCUCCCG
ensembl:snRNA U1 U1 spliceosomal RNA